UCGGUGGUGAAAUCCCGGAGCUUAACUCUGGAACUGCCAUCGAAACUGUUCAGCUAGAGUAUGAUAGAGGAAAGCAGAAUUUCUAGUGUAGAGGUGAAAUUCGUAGAUAUUAGAAAGAAUACCAAUUGCCAAAGGCGCUUUCUGGAUCAUUACUGACCCUGAGGAACAAAAGCAUGGGGAACCAAAAGGAUUAGAUACCCUCGUAGUCCAUGCCGUAAACGAUGUGUGUUAGACGUUGGAAAUUUAUUUUCAGUGUCGCACGGAAACCGAUAAACACACCGCCUGGGGAGUACGACCGCAAGGUUAAAACUCAAAUGAAUUGACGG
rnacentral:rRNA from 1 species